GGUUUACAGUGUUAUGUUCGUGAGGUGUAACGUUACAGAUGCAACUUUAGCCUACAGAAGAGUGAAAGUUUCUCAGGCCGUUUUCAUUUCCUGAAAUAAGAUCCUCUCUCCUUCAUUCCCGCCGAGGCCUGGUUUUACUACGAGUCUGAAGCAGCCACAUUUGGGCGGUUUUUUACUCAGAGGAGAGAAUUCAUCAAAUGCUAUACCUGCUCGCUGAUGGGACAACGAGGAACAGCGUUCAUGGAUGCUACACAACUGUCGACAAGUAUCUUGCUGCAAUCUUGUUCAAAUCUACCUGUCAUAUUUGUUCAUGUUUUAUUAACUAUUUUAUAUUUCCGUGCAACACUUAAUGAAUGUGACUGAAUAAUUAACCUCUACGCAUCUGGUAUAUGCUUUAAA